rnacentral:rRNA from 1 species
CGCGUGAAGGAGAGGCCCUGGUUUCUUAAACUGCUUUUAUACACCAAGAAAAACACCCACGUGUGGGUGCCCGACGGUAGUGUAUGAAUAAGCAUCGGCUAACUCCGUGCCAGCAGCCGCGGUAAUACGGAGGAUGCAAGCGUUAUCCUUUCCGGAAUUCAUUGGGUUUAAAGGGUGCGUAGGCGGCUUUUUAAGUCAGUGGUGAAAUCUUGCCGCUUAACGGUAAAAUUGCCAUUGAUACUGAUAAGCUUGAGUACAAUUGAGGUAAGCGGAAUGUGUAGUGUAGCGGUGAAGUGCUUAGAUAUUACACAGAACACCGAUUGCGAAGGCAGCUUACUAAACUGUUACUGACGCUGAUGCACGAAAGCGUGGGGAGCGAACAGGAUUAGAUACCCUGGUAGUCCACGCCGUAAACGAUGAUCACUCGCUGUAUGCGAUACACAGUAUGCGGCCAAGCGAAAGCAUUAAGUGAUCCAACCUGGGGAGUACGAUCGCCAAGGUUGAAACUCAAAGGAAUUGACCGGGGGCCCGCACAAGCGGAGGAACAUGUGGUUUAAUUCGAUGAUACGCCGAGGAACCUUACCUGGGCUUAAAUGGGGAACGACAGCUGCCGAAAGGUGGCCUUCUUCCGGACGUUCUUCAAGGUGCUGCAUGGUUGUCGUCAGCUCGUGCCGUGAGGUGUCGGGUUAAGUCCCAUAACGAGCGCACCCUUAUCGUUAGUUGCCAGCGGGUCAUUGCCCGGGGACUCUAGCGAGACUUGCCACCGUAAGGUGUGAGGAGGUGGGGAUGGCGUCAAUCAGCACGGGCCUUUAUUUCCGGGCUCACCGUGUACAUGGCCAAUAAAGGGAGUACGGGUGACCGGAGCAAUCUCUAAGUGUCCUUCGACGAAGUUGCCCCGCUUGUGAAGUGGAUUC